AGAGUUUGAUCCUGGCUCAGGAUCAACGCUGGCGGCGUGCCUAAUGCAUGCAAGUCGAACGGGGACUUCUUCGGAAGUCUUACGUGGCGGACGGGUGAGGAACACGUGGGCAACCUGCCCAGUGAUGGGGGAUAGCCUUUGGAAACAGAGGGUAAUACCGCAUGAGCUCAUGUCCCGAGUGGGGGAGAUGAGGAAAGCCUUCGGGCGUCACUGGAGGGGCCUGCGUCCGAUUAGCUAGACGGUGGGGUAACGGCCUACCGUGGCAGUGAUCGGUAGCUGGUUUGAGAGGAUGAUCAGCCACACGGGGACUGAGACACGGCCCCGACUCCUACGGGAGGCAGCAGCAAGGAAUUUUCCACAAUGGACGAAAGUCUGAUGGAGCAACGCCGCGUGUGGGAUGACGCUUUUCGGAGUGUAAACCACUGUUCAUGGGGACGAAGCACUGACGGUACCCAUGGAGGAAGGCCCGGCUAACUACGUGCCAGCAGCCGCGGUAAUACGUAGGGGUCGAGCGUUGUCCGGAGUUACUGGGCGUAAAGCGCAUGCAGGCGGCUCAUUACGCAUGGCGUGAAAGCCCCCGGCUCAACCGGGGAGGGUCGUCGUGAACGGGUGAGCUUGAGGGUAUCAGGGGCUGGUGGAAUUCCCGGUGUAGUGGUGAAAUGCGUAGAGAUCGGGAGGAACACCUGUGGCGAAGGCGGCCAGCUGGGAUACACCUGACGCUGAGAUGCGAAGGCGUGGGGAGCGAACGGGAUUAGAUACCCCGGUAGUCCACGCAGUAAACGAUGCAGACUAGGCGUGGGAGGACUUGACCCCUUCCGUGCCGGAGCUAACGCGAUAAGUCUGCCGCCUGGGGAGUACGGUCGCAAGACUAAAACUUAAAGGAAUUGACGG
rnacentral:rRNA from 1 species